AGCCUUAGACCAGAACCUCUUUUCUUUAUAAGAAGAAUUCCAGGUAACUCAGACACACCUCUCUGACCUAUAAAACUGCAAUGGAACAUCUUGGGAAAACAUCACAUCAGUUUUGUGAAGAACUUUGAACCAGGACUAAAUACCAGGGCGUCCUCCAUUCUCCUUCCAAUUUGGCAACAACCCUGGAAACCAUUGGUGAAGAAAGAAGCCACAGCUGGAGGGAGCCUGGAUCCUUGAAACACCAGCUGAAGAGAUACUUAUUGAUCAGAGACACCUGUAUUGAAGUUCAUCCAGAACAUCCUUAAUCACAGGGUUCAAUCUUUCAGAGGUAAUUAUUUUUCUAAAUCCUUUCAGCAGUUGGCCAACAUUUCCCUCACAAAGUCAUCUUAGCUAAUUAGGUCAUGUGCUUUGCAAUUUUUUGUUUAUUAACUAUUAACAAAUACAUUUUGUUGAGACAUCUAUCACUGAGGUUGCUUACUGUCUCUGACUUGCUGAUACGAAAUACUUCCAUAUGCAUUUUUUUAACUAUAUAUUUAAGAAGUCUUUAGUUUUUAAUAGAUCAGCAACAUGUAAAUCUAAUCAUUAUUUUACUUUUAUCUUCUCCCAUCUCUACAUGUUAACUUAUUACACUUUGCAUGUUUUCCUUCUCUUAGAACUAGGGAUAGAAAACAUCAUUUUUUUUUUCUUCCCUUAGGCAGGGUGCAAAAGUUCUAAAUCAGUGCUUCAUAAAUUUGAGCAGGAUUCUGAAUCAGGGGUACUUGUUUGAAAGGUAGAUUUUGGGUCCUGUCCUUAAUGCAGGUGAUGUGGGGAAAAUUUUGAGAAACAGUGCUUGUCAGAAGUGGGUGUUAACAACUACCAGUUCAUAGAAACAAAACGUUCUAAUCUGAAUGUUAGAAUAUAUGUCUUAUUAUUUACAUUUUUGCCAUAUUUUUUUAUAUUUUAGUAUAGUGCUACUCCAUAAAUCAACCAGGAAAAAGUGAGACUUGAUUCUCUAUGAAAGAUGAACGAAGCAGGCACCAUGCAGAAAUCCUGACACCUGAAACUGUUCUCUGGGUUUCUGUGUGAUCCACGGUUAAUUCAUUAUGUUUUCCUUUCUACAUUUUUAAGCUGACCAUGGAGAUAUAUGCAGUCAAAGUUUCCUUGAAAUUUUAAGUGGGGUGUACAAGAAAUAACAGAAGCCCAGCUUUCAUGAAUUAGUGCAAUUUUAUUAGGAAAAAAUUGUUUUUACUAAAGAAAUACAUGAACAUGGGUUAGUAAAAUCAAAGGGUUCUAAAGUCUUAAAAUGAAAACAGUCCCUUGUUUGUUUUUUUAAAAAUAUUUUUUAGUUGUAGAUGGAUACAGUCUUUAUUUACUUAUUUUUAUGUGGUGCUGAGGAUCAAAUCAUGUGUGAGGCAGGCGCUCUACCACUGAGCCACAUUGCAGCCCGGUUCUGU